ensembl:lncRNA
GAAAGUUCAUUUAUUUCAGUAAUUCAACUCAAAUUGUUAAACUUGUGUAUUAAAUAAAUUAAAUGCACAUAGAUUAAAGGAGUUUAAGCCUUUGGUUCUUUUAAUUGUGAUGAUUUUGGCUCACAUUUAACAAGAACCCACAAAUCUCAAUAAAUUAGAAUAUGGUGACAUGCCAAUCAGCUAAUCAACUAAAACACCUGCAAAGGUUUCCUGAGCCUUCAGAAUGGAUUCACUUCAAUACUGCGGUUCGGCUCCGACUGAGAACAGGAGAUAAAGAGCUGCUAGAGGCCUCCGUGUGUUUGAGCCUGUCACUCCACUGUUCAGAGCCAACGUCCAACUCACAGAAUGCCUAACACAGCCACAUGAAUUUGCUUUUUAUGUUUGUCAUUAAAAAACAUAAAUCUAGUGUGAUGGGACUUAAAUAAUACGGCACAUCUUCAGAAUAGGGGUAAAAAAUGUAUAGUUUUUGAUUAACAGGUGAAUACGGUUAGGGUUACACCAGAAAACUAUAUAUUUUUUGACAGGUUUGCAGUGAAUGAAAUAAUAUUACAAGUUGUCCUCAAAUGGCACCGAUUCCUCAAAAUGGCAGAUAAACUGAUGUUUCUUUCUUUAGAUUGCCGUUCACACGCAGGUGUUGGAAUUCCUCCUGACGCAAGGGAGUUACAGCGCAAUGGACUCAAGGACAAACAUGGCCAGCGCUGCUUUGAUUCGGUUCAUCUGAGGAUUUACACAAGCUCCAGUCUGGACCCAGAACACCUGAGAAGAGAUGAUGCCAACCCUGAAACAACAUACAUAACUGCCAAAUUCUGCUAUAAGUUUUAUCGCAACAUAUAAUAAUUGCUGUUAAUAGUGUUUACUGUCUGUUUGAUUUGGGCAUUAACUUGAAGCAUUAACCCAAUCUCUGUAUCCAAAAACCUAACCCUACCCAUAAUUUAUUCCUAAAAUCUGAGGGAAAUGAUAGCUGAAUUACAAAGGCGUAGAAGCACCUAACUCAGGUUGUAAGCCUAAAACAAAUAUUUCCUGAAAAGUUAUAUCUCAAUUCUGAUUAGUUUAUUGGAAUGUUGUUCCAGGAUAAACAAGGAUGUUGAUCCAGGAAUGUGUUGUACUUGGUGAAAUCAUGCUUGCCUUAACUUGAUGGUCACCACUGAUAAGCUACUACUAAAUUUAACGUAGAAACUUACAUUUUCUAUAAAGCUGUUUAUCAACGAUUUACAUAAUGAAAAGUGCUAUACAAAUAAACUUUGAAUUGAAUUGAACUUGUCAAGUCAAGUCACCUUUAUUUAUAUAGAGCUUUAAACAAAAUACAUUGCGUCAAAGCAACUGAACAACAUUCAUUUGGAAAACAGUGUGUCAAUAAUGCAAAAUGAUAGUUAAAGGCAGUUCAUCAUUGAAUUCAGUGAUGUCAUCUCUGUUCAGUUAAAUAGUGUCUGUGCAUUUAUUUGCAAUCAAUUAUUAAUAUCGCUGUAGAUGAAGUGACCCCAACUAAGCAAGCCAGAGGCGACAGCGGCAAGGAACCGAAACUCCAUCGGUGACAGAAUGGAGAAAAAAACCUUGGGAGAAACCAGGCUCAGUUGGGGUCAGUUCUCCUCUGACCAGACGAAACCAGUAGUUCAAUUCCAGACUGCAGCAAAGUCAGAUUGUGCAGAAGAAUCAUCUGUUUCCGAACAAUGUUAGGUAGGUUAUUCCAGAGUUUAGGCGUCAAAUAGGAAAAGGAUCUGCCGCCCGCAGUUGAUUUUGAUAUUCUAGGUAUUAUCAAAUUGAGAAAGUUUUGAGAACGUAGCGGACGUAGAGGAGUAUAAUGUAAAAGGAGCUCAUUCAAAUACUGAGGUGCUAAACCAUUCAGGGCUUUAUAAGUAAUAAGCAAUAUUUUAAAAUCUAUACGAUGUUUGAUAGGGAGCCAGUGCAGUGUGGACAGGACCGGGCUAAUAUGGUCAUACUUCCUGGUUCCUGUAAGAACUCUUGCUGCUGCAUUUUGGACUAGCUGUAGUUUGUUUACUAAGCGUGCAGAACAACCACCCGAUAAAGCAUUACAAUAGUCUAACCUUGAAGUCAUAAAUGCAUGGAUUAACAUUUCUGCAUUUGACAUUGAGAGCAUAGGCCGUAAUUUAGAUAUAUUUUUGAGAUGGAAAAAUGCAGUUUUACAAAUGACUUUCUAAGGAAAGAUUGCGAUCAAGUAGCACACCUAGGUUCCUAACUGAUGACGAAGAAUUGACAGAGCAACCAUCAAGUCUUAGAAUUUGAAAUAUACACCUGGUUCAGGGUUCUCUGUGGCUUACCAAUGACCUUGCUCAAUAUGUUAAUGACCCUAGUUAAUGUUUUAAUAUUUGAUAUUCUGAUGAACGGCACAUUUG